rnacentral:lncRNA from 1 species
GUUACGUAUGUGUUGUUAAAAAUUUGUUGUUAAAAAGAAUUUUUUCAAAAUAAAAAUAAAAGCAUGGAAAUAAAUGUAGUGGUGGAUAAAAACAAGAAAGGAGCAGAAGAGGACAGAGAAAGAGACCUUCUCUUCAGGCCUAUUCUAUUCUCUGCUAUUCCAAGAAUCCUAUGUUCAUAAUUAUUUAUAUGCUUCCACAAUAAAUCAAUGUGCGAGGAAAAACCCUAAUCUCUCAUAACUCACCCUUUAUCAAUUUUCUCUUUUCUUUUCUUUUUCCUUUUACAAAUCCAUCUUUACUAUAUAAUGUAAAAAUAACCUUUGAUGAAACCAUUAAUUCCGUACUAAUAAUAUGAUUUGGGUUGUUCAAGAAGACAUUCCAAGUUCCAGGAUAAAUCUUCUAC